rnacentral:rRNA from 1 species
GAUGAACGCUGGCGGCGUGCCUAAUACAUGCAAGUCGAGCGAACGGACGAGAAGCUUGCUUCUCUUAUGUUAGCGGCGGACGGGUGAGUCACACGUGGAUAACCUACCUAUAAGGCUGGGAUACCUUCGGGAAACCUGAGCUCAUACCGGAUCAUAUUUUGAACCGCAUGGUUCAAAAGUCAAAGACGUUCUUGCUGUCACUUAUAGAUGGAUCCGCGCUGCAUUAGCUAGUUGGUAAGGUAACGGCUUACCAAGGCAACGAUGCGUAGCCGACCUGAGAGGGUGAUCGGCCACACUGGAACUGAGACACGGUCCAGACUCCUACGGGAGGCAGCAGUAGGGAAUCUUCCGCAAUGGGCGAAAGCCUGACGGAGCAACGCCGCGUGAGUGAUGAAGGUCUUCGGAUCGUAAAACUCUGUUAUUAGGGAAGAACGUCUGUGUAAGUAACUGUGCACGUCUUGACGGUACCUAAUCAGAAAGCCACGGCUAACUACGUG